UUCCUCUAACUCUAUUAUCUCCAAAUUUUUUACUCAAUUGGGCUAACUUGGAGACCGGCAGGACUCAAAAAAACCAGUCAUAAGAAUUAGGAGUUUGAGCUUCUAAUGAUCAAAACCCUAACUUCUGCAAUUGAUCAAAGCAUUGAUUCCACAUUCUUAGUUUUAUCUUCAUGUUCUUUAUUUUACCUUUUGAUGCUUUCUUUGCCUUGUUGUCUUUGCCAUCCAUUGCUUCUUUUUUUCCUUCAUUGCAAAGACUGAAACUCCAUUUGCUCCAUUGUUUGAUCAUUCGUUCACUGCUAUUUUGUUUUUGGUUUGCUUGUCUGCUUUACCAAUUACUAUAAAUUGAAAACCCCCCAAAAAAUGGAGUUUGUUUCUGGGUUUAAACGUUACAUGUUGAAGCCUGAUAGUAAAGUUCAGAAUCUCAAGGAACAAAUUGAGAAUCUGAGAUACCAAAGAGACAGAGUGCAGCAUUUCAUUGAUGUUUCCAAGGAAAAGGGACAAGAGUUUGACCAAGAUGGCAAGAUUUGGGUGAAUCGCGCAGAGGAGAAAAUCAAGGAAGAGGAAGAGACAGUGAAAAACCUUGAAGCGCAAGCAAAGAAGAGGUGUUUCCUUGGCCUGUGUCCUAAUUUGAAGUCUCUUGACUUGCUCAACAAGAAAGCUGAAGAGGAUGCACAAGCUGUUCUGGAGCUCAUUCAACAAGCAGAAGCUCACAAGUUCAACAAUGAGAGCAAGGUUCAAAACUUGGAAGAUCAACCUGAAGCUGAUAAAAGAAACCCGGUGAUGGAAGUUGAACCGGAGAAGAAAACCAGUGAUGAGGCCGACAAGGUGAUGGAAGUUGAAGCUAAGGUCAGUGGUUCAGCAAAAGCUGACACCCCCAAGGCCAUCAGCAAGCUGAUUGAACAACGCGGGUUCAGUAGAGGUUUAUAUCCUGGUAAUACCCAGGAGACAAAAUCUAGGCCUAUUCAAGGCUUUGAGGCUUUCGAAUCGAGGAAAGCUACACUGGAGGAUAUUGUGGAAGCUUUAAAGGAUCCUGAUCUGAAGAUUAUUGGAGUAAAUGGGAGGCCUGGUGUAGGCAAGACCACGCUAGUGAAAGAAGCUGCUAGGAGAGCCAGGGAAGAAACCAUGUUUGAUGAGGUUGUGAUGGUAAUUGUUUCAUGGAAUCCAAACAUAAAAAGAAUUCAGGGAGAAAUUGCAGAUGCACUAGGCCUGAAACUUGAUGAGGAGACUGUGUUUGCAAGAGCAAUGAGACUGCAGCAGUGGUUGAAGAAACAAGAUAAGAGAGUUCUUCUAAUUUUAGAUGAUAUUUGGGAUGGCCAAAGACUGGAAUUGGAACAAGUUGGGAUUGCUAUUGAAGGUGACCAGAGUAUUGAAAGUGAAGAAGAUCUAGGAUGGCCAUUGAUGCAAAAUAUCAGCGAAAAUGGUUUUCAGAAAUUCUCUGCUGUUAGAUUCAAAAUAUUGCUGACUUCCACAAGUCGAGAGGUACUCAUUGAUAUGAAAACGGAAAAAAUGUUCAAUGUCCACGUGUUAACUGAGGAAGAAUCAAUGGGGUGGAUUCAGAAAGUUGUGGGCAAUGCAGCAAACCAGCCUGGUUACCGACAACUACUAACUAAAGUUGUGAAAAACUGUGCAGGUUUUCCGGUUGCUAUUUCAGCAAUUGCAAUUGCACUGAGAACACAAAACUUCAACCUUUUGGUGGAGGCUUUGCGAAAAGAAACAAAGCCAAUUACAAAAAAGGAAGAAGCGCUCAAAAGUGUUUACUUCACUAUAGAGUGGAGUUACAGCAUGUUAGAGAACCCUCAAUUGCAGUCAUUUUUCCAACUCUGUGCCUUGCUGCCGCGGGGUUCUGACAUUCAUGUAUCUGAUUUGCUAAGAUACAACUCGGGUUUGAGAAUAGCAAGUAAUGUUAGCACAUUGGAAGAAGCCAAAAAAUGUUUGAAUAAGCUCAAAGAUGCAGGUUUACUACUCAGCAGUGACAACAAUGAAGCGGUGAAAAUGCAUGACAUUGUUCGUGAUGUCGCCAUUUGGAUUGCAUCUGAAGAAAAGCGGAUGUUUGUUAUAGAGGAUGAAAACCGUAUCGAAGAGCUGCUAAAGGAAAGAAAACUCAACAGUUGCACUGCCAUUUCGCUGCCAUACAGUAGCAAUAACAAGCUGCCAGACAAUCUCGAAUGCCCCAGGCUAAAGUUGCUGGUUUUGUUCAACAAAAAUCCAUCAUUAGAAGUUCCAGACAAUUUCUUUAAGCGGAUGAAUGAACUCUUGAUAUUAGAUUUCACUGGUAUGGAUUUUGCUUCCCUGCCUUCAUCAUUUACUUCUUUAAGAAACCUUCAAAGGUUGCGUUUCGAUGAAUGUAAGUUGAAUGACAUCGCAAUUGUUGGGAAGCUGAAGCAAUUGGAUACACUUAAAAUUCUCAGUUCUGAUAUUCAUAGAUUGCCCCGGGAAAUAGGGGGACUAACAAGGCUUAAGUCCUUAGACUUGAGCAAUUGUUCUAAGCUUAAAUUCAUUCCAGAUAAAAUCAUAUCAGGCUUGCCUUAUUUAGAAGAACUGCUUAUGCGCAACAGCUUCGAUCAAUGGGGUGUUGAAGGCAAUGCCAGCCUUAGUGAAUUGAAGUCUUUGUCUGGUCUAGUUGCUUUGGAUGUCCAUAUUCAUUCUGUUCAACUUAUGCCAUCAGAACUAUUCUCUGAAAAACUGAAUCGAUACAAGAUUCUUAUCGGGGAGGUCUGGGACUGGUCCGGAAAGUAUGAAAAGGAGAGGACACUGAAACUCCAGCUUACUAAGGGAAUUCACUUGGAUCGUGGAGUUAAACUGUUGUUGCAGAAAACUGAAGAUCUAUAUCUAGAUGAAAUGCUAGGCAUCAAGAGCUUGCUGUAUGAGUUGGAUGGCACUGGUUUUCCACAGCUCAAGAAUCUCUACAUACAAAAUGGUCCAGAAUUACUGUUCAUUAUUAACUCUAUGGAGGUGGCAUCACGUAAAGCUUUUCCUAUCCUCAAAUCACUAGUUCUUCAGAAUCUGAUUAAUUUGGAGAAGAUUUGUCAAGGCAAACUUGAAGAAGAAUGUUUCAAUAGAUUGCAAAUCAUAAGUGUUGAACGUUGUGACCGACUCAAGAAUCUUUUUCCAUUCUCCAUGACCAAAAUGCUUGUCCAACUUCAAGAAAUUAAAGUUUCAAAGUGCAAAAGCAUUGAAGAGAUCGUUACUGAAGAGAGAGAGCAAAAUGCUGGUAUAGCAACCAAUAAAACUGAGUUUGGCCAAUUGCGAUCCUUAACACUGAAGCUUCUACCAGAGCUUCAUAGUUUCUGCUCCAAAGAGAAGAGCCGUUCCAUUUAUCAACUGGAACCGGUGAAUACAUAUUCUUGGCUACUUUUUGAUGGAAAGGUUGUGUUUCCUGUCCUUGAGAAACUGCAGUUGUCCUGCAUCAACAUUGAAAGGCUAUGGCUGAAAUCAUCUUACUACAGUCAGAAUUUGACAAGCUUGGCAAUUGAGGGUUGUGGCAACCUUAAAAACCUUUUUUCACCUUCUAUCACUAGAAGCUUAUUGAGACUCAAAAGCUUUGAGAUAAUUGACUGCAAAUGUAUAAGAGAGAUUAUAGUUCCAGAUGAAGUAAAAGAAAAGGAAAAAGAAACAGAAACAAAAGAAAAGGUAAAAGAAGAAGAAAAAGAAAAAGAAGAGAUUGCCAAGAUAUUGUUCCCCCAACUAAAUUCCUUGAAAAUGAGAAAUCUUGUGAACUUAGUCGGAUUCUGCUCAGAGAGUUGCUUUCUCGAGUUCCCAUCUUUGAAGCUUUUGGAGAUAGAGAAUUGCCCACGUUUGAAGGAGUUUAUGCACAAACCUCAGAGUACAGACAUCACAACUGUCAUUGGAACUCUAGAAAUAAACAAAGAGAAUGAUCAUCAUUUAGGUGAACAAGCUCUCUUUAAUGCAAAGGUUGCAUUUCCAAAGUUGGAGAAAUUGAAGAUCUCCCAUUUGGGAACUAUGAAGAUAUGGCACGGUCAACUCCACACAGAUUCUUUUAGCAAACUAAAAGAAAUGAAGGUUGGAUAUUGUAAUGAUAUAUUGACUAUUUUCCCAUCUAUUAAGGAGUGGAACUUCCAGGGAUUGGAAACACUAAUAGUUUUCAACUGUGAUUCACUACAAAAUAUUUUUGAAUCAUCGGACAUCAAAGUAGGCACUCAGCUAAGAAGAUUGUAUGUUUCUCAUCUUCCAAAGCUGAAACAUGUCUGGAAUGAGGAUUCCCAAAGCAAUCUUACCUUUGAAAAUAUACGAAAUGUAUACAUUCAAGACUGUUGGUGUCUGAAAAGUCUUUUUCCUGCAUCAGUGGCAAAAGGUCUUAAACAACUCGUAGAUCUCACAAUUGAUUCUUGUGGAUUGGAAGUGGUUGUUUCAGAGGAGAAAGUACAGAACCAACAUGUUAAUGAGUUUGAAUUUCCUGAAGUCUGCUCUCUUACACUUCAGAACCUGCCUGAACUGAAAUGCUUUUACCCAGCAGCAUAUGAAGCAAAAUGGCCAAAGUUAAAAAAGUUGAAGACUUAUCAUUGUGGCCAAGAAGUGCUUGGGAUGGAAGAACAUCAGUCCUCAAAUCAAAAGCCAGUUUUCUUUUUUGAAAAGGUGAUCCAUGAUUUGGAGGAGUUGUCAUUAAACAGCAAGCACAUUUCAGUAAUACGCAAUCAUCCAUUUCAAGUAGGCAUCUUCAGCCGCAUAAAAGUUCUUCAAGUGCUUGGCUAUCAUGACAAACCAGUUGUUUUUCUAUUUAAUCUUCUAGAAAAAUUUAACAAUCUGAAAAAGCUUGAGCUGAUUCAUUGUGAUUUCAAAGGGAACUUCAUUGAUGAAGGAGAUGCAAGUGAAAAGAAAGCGGAAAGGGAGCCGGUUAGUCUUCUGAACACCGGCUACAUAGGGGAGCAAAACUCACAACUACCCCAUGUUGUCCUAAAUCUUGAAACUCUUGAAGUUAGGAGAUGUGAUGGUUCGAUCAGUUUGGGAUCAUACUUGUCAUCCUUUCAAAAUCUCAUAACUUUGGACCUUUGGCAGUGCAAAGCAACUGCCUUAAUUACAUCUUCAGUAGCUCGGAAUCUGGUGCAGCUGAUAAAAAUGAGGAUUAGAGACUGCAUUAUGGUGAGAGAAAUAGUUGCAAAAGAGAAAGAUGAUGCAAAAGACUUAGUAAGUUUCAGCAAGCUGAAAUGCUUAGUACUUCAUUAUUUACCAAACCUUUCAAGCUUCUGUUCAGAGGAAUACAGCUUUCAGUUCCCAUCUUUGGAACAAGUUAUUGUGAGACAAUGUCCCAAAUUAAAGAUCUUUUGUCAGGGAGUCUUAAGUACCCCACAGUUACAUGGAGUGAGGCUAUCAGAAGAGGACUAUAAGGGGUUUUGGGCUGGUGACCUCAAUGCCACCAUAUAUCAGUUGCACAAAAAUAUAGUAAGAUAUUAUGAGCCAGAGCAUUUGAAACUUCGUGAGUUUCCUGAGUUGGAGGAAAUCUGGAAUACAAUUCCUCGAGGAAUUAUAGACUUCAAAAGACUCAAAUGUCUGGAAGUGUAUGUCUGUAACAACUUGAGAUACAUGUUAACAGCUUCCAUGGCUGCAGAUCUUGUGCAGCUGCAGCAGAUAAAAGUAAAAAAUUGCAAAGUAAUUGAAGAAAUCAUCAGAGAUGACAAAUCAACUACAAUGAAGAUCAUAUUCCCUCAGCUUAAAACAAUAACUAUCAAGUCUUGUUUGGACUUGUCAUGGUUUUCCUCAGGAAGUUUUGCAUUGGAAUGUCCAAACUUGAAGGAAAUUACGUUAGUUGGCUGUCCAAAGAUGGUUGCAUUUGCAUCCACUGUUUCAAACGAGCUGCACAAUGAGAUCAUCAGUGGAGAGUAUUCGAAUAUUCUUGUAAAGGAUGCCCCUAAUGCCUCUGCUAAACCCUUUUUCAGUAAUAAGGUGUCAUUACCUUUGUUAAAGGAUUUGACAAUUGUAGACAUGGGGAAUUUGGAAAGGAUAUGGGAUGACCAACUUGAGAUGAACUCCUUCUCCAAGUUAAAACACCUUGAAGUUCAUAGUUGUGUGAAACUAUCAAACAUUUUCCCACUUAAUAUGCUGAAAAGACUUCAGAGACUAAAAAAUCUGCAAGUAAUGGAGUGUGCCUCAUUAGAAGAAUUAUUUGAACACAAAUUCACUGAGGCAGAAAUAAACACCAAGUUUGUAUUUCCUCAAAUGACAUACCUGAACCUUUCUAUGCUACCAAAACUGAAGAGUUUCUACUCUGGGGUGCAUACCACCGAAUGGCCAUUAUUGAAAAAAUUGGAUGUUUAUGGAUGUGACAAAGUGGAGAUAUUUGCUUCAGAAUAUUCAAGCUCCCAUGAAACACGAGGACAGCAUCCCUUAUUUUGGAUCAAUAUGGGCACAUUCCCUUGUUUAGAAGAACUGAGAUUGGAAAGAAAUGGCAACAUGAAAGAGAUAUGGCAUGGACAACUUCCAGAAGGGUAUUUUAAGCUGAAAGUUCUGGAGCUCAUAAAUUCUCCACCACUGACUGUUCUUCCACCUUAUUUCUUUCUAUCACUAUCAAAUCUUCAAAAUUUUGUUCUGAGUGAUGCUUCCAUUAAUGAAAUAUUCCCAUGUGAAGAACCUGGUGGCGACGAAAAGCUGGAAGGGGCAUGUGCUCAGUUAAGUGUACUGAGGUUAUCCAAACUCCAUGAACUGACACAUUUUUGGAAGGAGAAUUUUAAGCCUGGAGUAAUUUUCUGUAACAUGAGAGUUCUAGAAGUGCAGGAUUGUGGUAAAUUAAGCGUUCUAGUGCCAUCCUCAGUGUCUUUCGAGAAUUUGACAACUCUAGAAGUGUCCAGGUGUGAGGGACUUAAACAUUUAUUUGCACACUCCACAGCUAAAAGCCUGGUGCAGCUUAAUAGAAUGAGUGUAACCGAUUGCAAAAUGCUAGAAGAAAUUGUAACAUGCCCAGGUGAUGAAGUGAAGGAAGCCAUUGUUUUCACUCAGCUAAAGUAUUUGGGACUUAGUUGUCUGCCAAACAUAGCGAGCUUUUGCUCAGGAAACUGCACCUUCGAAUUCCCUUCAUUGGAAACUGUAACCAUGAGACAUUGCCCAAAGAUGAAAACUUCGCCUCGGGAAAGGUUUAAUGCACCAAAACUAAAACGGGUGUAUUCAAGAGAAGCUGGAGGUGAAGGCCACUGGGAAGGCGAUCAAAACACCACCAUACAGCUUUUGUUCAUGGAAACGGUUGAAUAUCGUGGGAUCGAAUAUGUGGUACUCUCUGAUUCCUCUAAGUUGAUGGAAAUAAGAAACUGGAAUCCACAAGGAAUUUUGGACUUUAAAAACCUUAAGUUUCUGAAAGUUUAUAACUGUAGAAACUUGAGAUGUCCAUUUAACCCUUCCAUGGCCAUGGACCUUGUGCAUCUUGAAAAACUUGAGAUUCAUGAUUGUGAGAUGUUGGAAGAGGUAAUAAUCAGAAAAGGAUUACCAAAAAGAGAAAGGAUGAGCAAGAAAAUGUUCCCUAAACUGGAAACUUUACUGCUUAUUUCCCUCCCCAAUCUCACAAGAUUUUACUCAGGAAAUUACCUUGUGUUCCCCUUCUUGAAAGAACUUUGGAUUCAGAGUUGCCCUAUGUUGAAUACAUUCAUCUCUGGUUCUGUAACUAGAAACAACUCAAGGCAGAAUAUGCAUACUGAUUUGACAGUUCUAAUUGAUGAAAAGGUGGCAUUCCCCUCCUUGGAGAAAUUAGGAAUAAUGGACAUGGGAAGCCUGAGAAAGAUUUAUAAUGACCAAAUUUCUAUGGAUUCAUUCUCCAAACUAAAGGUUCUGAAGCUCAUAGGCUUACCUAAGCAGUUAGAUAUUCUUCCAUCUGGUUUCUUUCUCUCAUUGUCCAAACUUGAAAGGCUUGUUGUUGAUGAUGCCUCCUUUACAGAAAUAUUUCAGUGUAAAAGCACGGAGGAAAAAAUGCAGGCAUGGGAACUUGAUAGUUUUAGUGAUUUACGGUUGUCUAAACUUCCUGAGUUAUUGCAUCUCUGGAAGGAAGAGUUUCAGUCUCAACCUGGAACACAUUUUCGAAACCUGAGAAGUCUAAAAGUAUCGGAAUGCCCCAAAUUGAAGAAUUUAGUUCCAUCCACAGUGUCUUUCCAAAAUCUGACUACUCUUGAAAUAUCAAGAUGUCACGGACUUAGAAAUCUAGUAACACCCUCAACUGCUAAAAGCAUGGUGCAACUGAAAAGGAUGAGGAUAACAGAUUGCAAAAUGCUAGAAGGAAUUGUAGCAGAUGCAGACGAUAGAAGUACAUAUAGCAUCAUGUUCAAGCAUCUGGAGUAUCUCAGACUUCAAAGCUUACAGGCGCUUACAAGUUUUUGCUCAGGGUACUAUCGCUUUGAGUUCCCAUCUUUGGUUGAAUUGGUUGCAAUCGAAUGCCCAGAGUUCAGUGUUUUUUGUAAAGGAGAAGUAAGCACACCAUUGCUAAAAAGAGUAUGUCCAACAGAAGGAGGAGAUAGAUCUUUAACAGAUAAGGACCUUAAUAUCACCAUAAAUGGAUUAUACAGUGAAAAGGUACAUACAUAUUUAUGAAAUUUUUUAAUGAUAUAUAGGUUUAGACACCUGAACAUUUGAGUUCUUUGUCUUCCUGAGUUAAUGGAAACGUAGAAUAGCAACAGUCCAGAAAUGUUCCAACACUUGGAUUCUUCGUACUUCAUGGUUUGUAAUUACAGCAACUACAAGGCUCAAAAUGAUGUGAAAGAGUUGGAGUUUCUUCAGUGGACGAUGUCAGACUUGUGGAGACCUUCAGCUGUGUGAAGGUCAAUGAAUUUUAUCAUCGACUUUGGUGUGGAAGGUUAAUCUUAUCUGGUCUUAGUCCUCAUUCUCCUUUUUUUUUUUUCUACUUUGCCUACAUUUGUUUCCUCAACCGAAUGGAACCAAACAUAUGGAUUUGGAACCAUUUUCUUUUCUGUAUUCUCUCAUUUCCUUCCAAUUUUUAAUUGUUAAGGUUUCUGUCUGUUUAGCAAACUAAAUUGAUAAAAUCGGCAGAAAACUUGUCUCCUGUCAUUUGCAAAGUGAA